rnacentral:rRNA from 1 species
GGAUGAACGUUGGCGGUGUGCCUAAUACAUGCAAGUCGAACGGAGACUGUAGCAAUACUGUCUUAGUGGCGAACGGGUGAGUAACGCGUUGGUGAUCUGCCUCGAAGUGUGGAAUAACCUCCCGAAAGGGAAGCUAAUACCGCAUAGUCUCUCAAGGUUUAGAAAAUUGAGAGUAAAGGAUUUAUUCGCUUCGAGAGGAGCCUGCGUCCCAUCAGCUCGUUGGUAGGGUAACGGCCUACCAAGGCAAUGACGGGUAGGGGACCUGAGAGGGUGGCCCCCCACAAUGGAACUGAAACACGGUCCAUACACCUACGGGUGGCAGCAGUAGGGAAUAUUAGAAAUGGGCGGAAGCCUGAUCUAGCAACACCGCGUGUGCGAUGAAGGCCUUCGGGUCGUAAAGCACUUUUUGGAGGGAAUAGGAAGGAAGGUACCUCCAGAAUAAGUCUCGGCUAACUACGUGCCAGCAGUCGCGGUAACACGUAGGAGGCAAACGUUAUCCGGAUUCACUGGGCGUAAAGCGCGUGCAGGUGGUUCCGUAAGUAGGGCGUGAAAGCUCCCGGCUCAACUGGGAGAGGCCGUACUAAACUGCGGAGCUAGAGGAUGGUAGAGGGAGGUGGAAUUCCAGGUGUAGUGGUGAAAUGCGCAGAUAUCUGGAGGAACACCAGUGGCGAAGGCGGCCUCCUGGACCAUUCCUGACACUCAGACGCGAAAGCUAGGGUAGCAAACGGAAUUAGAGACUCCGGUAGUCCUAGCCCUAAACGAUGCAGACUAGGCGUCGGCGGUUUAAUCACCGUCGGUGUCCAAGCUAACGCGAUAAGUCUGCCGCCUGAGGACUACGGCCGCAAGGCUAAAACUUAAAGGAAUUGACGGGUCCCCGCACAAGCAGCGGAGCGUGUGGUUUAAUUCGAAGCAACGCGCAGAACCUUACCAACCCUUGACAUGGGUAUCGCGGCCUCGGAGACGGGGCUUUCAGUUCGGCUGGAUACCACACAGGUGCUGCAUGGCUGUCGUCAGCUCGUGUCGUGAGAUGUUCGGUUAAGUCCGGCAACGAGCGCAACCCACACUUUCAGUUGCCAUCAUUCAGUUGGGCACUCUGGAAGAACUGCCGGUGAUAAGCCGGAGGAAGGUGUGGAUGACGUCAAGUCCUCAUGGCCCUUACGGGUUGGGCUACACACGUGCUACAAUGGUGGUGACAAUGGGUUAAUCCCCAAAAGCCAUCUCAGUUCGGAUUGGGGUCUGCAACUCGACCCCAUGAAGUCGGAAUCGCUAGUAAUCGCGUAACAGCAUGACGCGGUGAAUACGUUCCCGGGCCU